GGCCUAACACAUGCAAGUCGAACGGCAGCGCGGGGCAACCUGGCGGCGAGUGGCGAACGGGUGAGUAAUAUAUCGGAACGUACCCUGGAGUGGGGGAUAACGUAGCGAAAGUUACGCUAAUACCGCAUACGAUCUAAGGAUGAAAGUGGGGGAUCGCAAGACCUCAUGCUCCUGGAGCGGCCGAUAUCUGAUUAGCUAGUUGGUGGGGUAAAGGCCUACCAAGGCAUCGAUCAGUAGCUGGUCUGAGAGGACGACCAGCCACACUGGAACUGAGACACGGUCCAGACUCCUACGGGAGGCAGCAGUGGGGAAUUUUGGACAAUGGGCGAAAGCCUGAUCCAGCAAUGCCGCGUGAGUGAAGAAGGCCUUCGGGUUGUAAAGCUCUUUUGUCAGGGAAGAAACGGUGAAGGCUAAUAUCCUUUGCUAAUGACGGUACCUGAAGAAUAAGCACCGGCUAACUACGUGCCAGCAGCCGCGGUAAUACGUAGGGUGCAAGCGUUAAUCGGAAUUACUGGGCGUAAAGCGUGCGCAGGCGGUUUUGUAAGUCUGUCGUGAAAUCCCCGGGCUCAACCUGGGAAUUGCGAUGGAGACUGCAAGGCUAGAAUCUGGCAGAGGGGGGUAGAAUUCCACGUGUAGCAGUGAAAUGCGUAGAGAUGUGGAGGAACACCGAUGGCGAAGGCAGCCCCCUGGGUCAAGAUUGACGCUCAUGCACGAAAGCGUGGGGAGCAAACAGGAUUAGAUACCCUGGUAGUCCACGCCCUAAACGAUGUCUACUAGUUGUCGGGUUUUAAUUAACUUGGUAACGCAGCUAACGCGUGAAGUAGACCGCCUGGGGAGUACGGUCGCAAGAUUAAA
rnacentral:rRNA from 1 species